AACGAAUGCUGGCGGCGUGCCUAACACAUGCAAGUCGAACGAGAAAGGGUCUUCGGCUCCGCGUACAGUUGCGCACGGGUGAGUAACCCGCGGGUAACCUGCCUCCAAGAUCUGGAUAACUCUGCGAAAAAUGCGCUAAUACCGGAUCAGACCACAGUUCCCGCGGGAAGAGGGGUCAAAGGUAGCCUCUCCUGGCAAUCUAUCACUUGCAUAUCGGCCUGCUAAUCAGUAGCUAGUUGGUCGGGUAACUGCCUACCAAGGCAAAGAUGGUUAGGUGCUCUGAGAGGAUGAUCAGCCACACUGGCAAGGAGACAAGGACCCGACUCCUGAGGGAGGCAGCAGUGGGGAAUAUUGCGCAAGGGGCGAAAGCGUGACGCAGGAAAGCCGCGUGAGUGAUGAAGGGCUUCGGGUCGUAGAGCUCUGUCGGGAGGGACGAAUGCUCCUGAGGUUAACAGCAUCAGGAGGUGACGGUACCUGGAAAGGAAGCACCGGCUAACUCUGUG
rnacentral:rRNA from 1 species